rnacentral:rRNA from 1 species
UACGGAGGGUGCAAGCGUUAUCCGGAUUCACUGGGUUUAAAGGGUGCGUAGGUGGGUUGAUAAGUCAGUGGUGAAAUCCCCGAGCUUAACUUGGGAACUGCCAUUGAUACUAUUGAUCUUGAAUACCGUGGAGGUCAGCGGAAUAUGUCAUGUAGCGGUGAAAUGCGUAGAUAUUGGGAGGAACACCAGUGGCGAAGGCGGCUACCUGGACCGGUUCUGACGCUGAUGCGCGAAAGCGUGGGUAGCAAGCAGG